AAGAGUUACAGCUCUUUUAGAAUUUGUCUAGCUGCUGAAAAGCCCU
ensembl:snRNA U7 U7 small nuclear RNA